rnacentral:lncRNA from 1 species
CUCAUCAUAUAUUUUCAUCCCCAGGGAAAUCUUGGAAUCAGCAUCCUAGCUACAAACCAGAUUGGAUCAAAGAUUGACAGUUACCGAUUUCAUAAAUCGAUUUAUCCAACAGUUUAUGGAAAGAAAAAAUGGACAAAUUCGACGCUUCGAGCCAACGGGAAAUCAAACUCAAAUAUAACACUAAGCUAUCAAGUCUAUUGCAAAGAACACUACUACAGCCCUUCUUGCACGGUUCAAUGUCUUCCUGGUGUCAAUUAUAAAUGUGACGAAAGUACUGGAAAUAAGUUAUGUCUCAAUGGUUAUAUAGGUCCAAAUUGUACAUGUAAACCCGGUCAUCAAUACAACUGUGAUAGCACAGGAAAGAGAAUCUGUUAUCGACCAUGGUACGGAGUAAAAUGCGACGUGGAAUGCCAGGGAAAAAAUGAUAGAUUGAGUGGUUAUAUUUGCAACACCACAACUGGUGCGAAGAUCUGUCUGAAUGGUUGGUAUGGCCCAGAAUGUAACGAGACAACAAAGAUGGUCAGUUCAGCAAUAAUUCUAGCAAACAAUUCUCUGGAAAUCAUCUCAACAACACAAGGGAAGUUUAACACUUUAAAUUCACUGAAAACCAAAAACAGCAUCCAUCACAUCACUUCCAUGUCUAGAAAGAUGUCAUUACCUAAAAGUACUUUCACAACAUUAAUGACGUCAUCUCUACAAACGUCAUCGCUUAUGACGUCAGCACUAAUCCCGGCAUC